rnacentral:sRNA from 1 species
CCCCGCCCCGCCCCCCGGCGCGAAGGACCUGCGGAUCGGGGUGGACAGAGGCAUUGUUUAUAUUCUCUUGCUUGAUGCCCAAAACAAACACAGAGGAAGAAAAUCCAGCUGUUUCCAGAGCGAUGGAAUCAGGAGUCGGGUGUUGGAAAAGCGCCAGUUGUCACGAGAUUUGUAACCCAGGCUGAAAUGUCCUGUGCUUGCAUUUUGACCUUUGUCUAGCACCCACGGCUGGCCUGCCUUCUCUGCCUCAGCUCCUCCUGACUGGCGUCCUUGCGUUUGGAUCUGUGCUGGGAUUGGUUCUGAGACAACAUAAACACAGCGUGACUCAUGGAUUUGAAGAAGUGUAAGGGUGAAGAACGUGAAGUCAUCAAGGUUAGGAGAAGCAAUGCCAGCGAUGAACAUUGGACUUCUAAUCACGUUCAAGGAGAGAUGAUUCCAUUCAUUUUAUAAGGCUUUCACCCGAUUCUCGGUAUCGUGUCGGUGCGGGCAUGGGGCACUGACAAAUGGAGGUUCCACCGAGAUUUGAACUUUGAAUCCAGUGAUCCGAGAUCAGAAAGACAAGGUCUCCUGACAGGACGUCCUGGGAAGCCAGCAAAGAAGCAGGGACUUAUUGGGGUAAGAUGGGCUAAAAAAGGCCUCGGUGAUUUGGGCUAGCGUGAGUAAAACUUGUAAUAAAAAAGGGACAAGGUAAUGGUAAGGUAUUUUUGUGUAUGCGCUCUUUUAGAGUUAUGUUUUAGUCUUUGGACCAUGACUAGAGAGUUUACGCCCUAGAUAUGAGAGAGAAUGAAUGGGUUUAAGAGAAAUAGUCCUCCCAGACUCUCCACAGAUGCUUUGGAACUUUUUCAGAGCUCUCGUAGGAACAGAAGGAAGGCAGGAGACGUCCUGCCUCUCUGCUGGCUCCUAUUGGAAAAAUGAUGUGUAUUGUCUGUCCU